CAGUAGCCGCGGUAAUACAGAGGAUGCAAGCGUUAUCCGGAAUUAUUGGGCGUAAAGGGCUCGCAGGCGGUUUCUUAAGUCUGAUGUGAAAGCCCCCGGCUCAACCGGGGAGGGUCAUUGGAAACUGGGAAACUUGAGUGCAGAAGAGGAGAGUGGAAUUCCACGUGUAGCGGUGAAAUGCGUAGAGAUGUGGAGGAACACCAGUGGCGAAGGCGACUCUCUGGUCUGUAACUGACGCUGAGGAGCGAAAGCGUGGGGAGCGAACAGGAUUAGAUACCCCAGUAGUCCCUGUCUCUUAUAC
rnacentral:rRNA from 1 species